CAAGUCGAGCGAAGCCUUCGGGCUUAGCAGCGGACGGGUGAGUAACGCGUGGGAACGUGCCCUUUGGUACGGAAUAGCCCCGGGAAACUGGGAGUAAUACCGUAUGUGGUCGAGAGACGAAAGAUUUAUCGCCAAAGGAUCGGCCCGCGUUGGAUUAGGUAGUUGGUGGGGUAAUGGCCUACCAAGCCGACGAUCCAUAGCUGGUUUGAGAGGAUGAUCAGCCACACUGGGACUGAGACACGGCCUACACUCCUACGGGAGGCAGCAGUGGGGAAUCUUAGACAAUGGGGGAAACCCUGAUCUASCCAUGCCGCGUGAUCGAUGAAGGCCUUAGGGUUGUAAAGAUCUUUCAGUGGGGAAGAUAAUGACUGUACCCACAGAAGAAGCCCCGGCUAACUCCGUGCCAGCAGCCGCGGUAAUACGGAGGGGGCUAGCGUUAUUCGGAAUUACUGGGCGUAAAGCGCACGUAGGCGGAACAGAAAGUCAGAGGUGAAAUCCCAGGGCUCAACCUUGGAACUGCCUUUGAAACUCCUGUUCUUGAGGUCGAGAGAGGUGAGUGGAAUUCCGAGUGUAGAGGUGAAAUUCGUAUAUAUUCGGAGGCACACCAGUGGCGAGGGCGGCUCACUGGCUCGAUACUGACGCUGAGGUGCGAAAGCGUGGGGAGCACACAGGAUUAGAUACCGUGGUAGUCCACGCCGUACACGAUGAGUGCCAGUCGUCGGGUAGCAUGCUAUUCGGUGACACACCUAACGGAUUAAGCAUUCCGCCUGGGGGAGUACGGCCGCGAGGUUAAAACUCAAAGGAAUUGACGGGGGCCCCGCACAAGCGGUGGAGCAUGUGGUAUAAUUCGAAGCAACGCGCAGAACUCUAUACCAAUCUCUUGACAUGGGCAGUUGAGCUGUUUCCAGGAGAUGG
rnacentral:rRNA from 1 species